GGAGGAAGCUGGAAGCCAAGAUGAGGAGGUGGCAGAGAUUCAGGCCAGAGUUGUGGGCCGCCGUCGGCAGCAAGAACAGAGAGAGAGGUGGACAGAUCUGAGAGAUACUGAGAUUAAAAGGAGCCCAAGCCCCAUCUCAUCCUAGCACACCCUCCUCCACUGUCCUGGCAGUAGCAGUCCCUGCACUAGGUCAGACAAUCCCCUUUGGGGUACAGGAAACAAAGCAGGAGGAGUUUGAGGUCCCUACACUGCAGCAGAAGAAGAGGAAGGAGUGGGGCCUGAAUUGACCAUAAAGGAUGUAGGGGCCACGUUGUUCCACUGUAAUGUCAAGGAGGGGGUGGCCAUUGUUUGUCCCAGCCUGGGGCUCCCCCUCUGGUUUCCUAUUUGUAGUUACUAGAAUGAAAAAAAAACAUGAUAGAUAAAUAAAUAAUCCACUGGCAGAGA
rnacentral:lncRNA from 1 species